rnacentral:rRNA from 1 species
UGGAAGCUUGUAAACUUAGUGGCGGACGGGUGAGUAACACGUGAGCAACCUGCCUAUCAGAGGGGGAUAACGAUUGGAAACGAUCGCUAAUACCGCAUGACGCAUGACCGGGGCAUCCCGGGCAUGUCAAAGAUUUUAUCGCUGGAAGAUGGCCUCGCGUCUGAUUAGCUAGAUGGUGGGGUAACGGCCCACCAUGGCGACGAUCAGUAGCCGGACUGAGAGGUUGACCGGCCACAUUGGGACUGAGAUACGGCCCAGACUCC